GACAGAGGGGGCAAGCAUUGCUCGGAAUUACUGAGCGUAAAGGGCGCGUAAACGGGAUGGCAAGUCGGUCGUGAAAUCCCUCGGCUCAACCGAGGAACAUCGAUCGAUACUGCUGUUCUUGAGGAUUGCAGAGGAGACUGGAAUUCCCGGUGUAGCGGUGAAAUGUGUAGAGAUCGGAAGGAACACCGAUAACGAAAACGGAUCUCUGAGCAAUUCCUGACGCUGAAGCGCGAAAGCGUGGGGAGCAAACGGG
rnacentral:rRNA from 1 species